rnacentral:rRNA from 1 species
ACAUCCAGAGAACUUUCCAGGGAUGGAUUGGUGCCUUCGGGAACUCUGAGACAGGUGCUGCAUGGCUGUCGUCAGCUCGUGUUGUGAAAUGUUGGGUUAAGUCCCGCAACGAGCGCAACCCUUAUCCUUUGUUGCCAGCGGUUAGGCCGGGAACUCAAAGGAGACUGCCAGUGAUAAACUGGAGGAAGGUGGGGAUGACGUCAAGUCAUCAUGGCCCUUACGAGUAGGGCUACACACGUGCUACAAUGGCGCAUACAAAGAGAAGCGACCUCGCGAGAGCAAGCGGACCUCAUAAAGUGCGUCGUAGUCCGGAUUGGAGUCUGCAACUCGACUCCAUGAAGUCGGAAUCGCUAGUAAUCGUGGAUCAGAAUGCCACGGUGAAUACGUUCCCGGGCCUUGUACACACCGCCCGUCACACCAUGGGAGUGGGUUGCAAAAGAAGUAGGUAGCUUAACCUUCGGGAGGGCGCUUACCACUUUGUGAUUCAUGACUGGGGUGAAGUCGUAACAAGGUAAGCGUAGUGCU